GGACGGAACUCUGGAGAGACCGUAAAGGCACCGAAGGGGCAAGGCAGGCAACUGCUCAAACUCUCAGGUAAAAGGACAGAGCUAGGAUA
rfam:Streptococcus pneumoniae SP6-BS73 ctg892, whole genome shotgun sequence.